UCGAUGGCAUCAUUCAAUAUUAUUCAUGUUUAUUGUCGAAUGUAUUUCAUAGCCCCUCAAAUUACCCCCAAAAAUUCUCAAUUUUCGAAAAUUAUUUUUGACGCAGUGGAUUGCAUAAUAGGCGAAAUUGUAUCACCGAAUAAUGAUUGUGCAUGGCCAUGGUCUAUACUCGGAAGUCAUUAAACUGUACCAAAGUGAAUUAACGAGUGCAUCCAAAUGGAUUUUUUUACAUGAGCUUCACGUGUACUUGAACCCCCUUUUUUACAGUGAAUUUCCAUUAAUGAUUAAAAACGUGUAAAUUUACUCACGGUUUUUGUGUUGAAACGUUGUCCGCCGUCAUUAUUAUUGCCGGGGUUUUCUAACAACUGGUUCUCUUGGAAUAGCGGUUAAAUAUUUGGGAAACUGCAUGGGUUGAGCAGAUGGAGAACUAGCGGACUAACUGAACCAUCGGGCAAGACCACCAUCUACGAAGAAUUUCAAAGAUAAAUGAUUUCGAUUGUUGGCAUCCCAAAUUGACUGUGUCAUUGGCUGAUUUUGGGCACGUGCCAAUUGCGAAAAGUGCUGAGUAUUCAUGGAAAAAAAAUCAUUGCAGAGUGGAAAAUUUCAUAUUCUUGGAGAAUCUAGGAAGGAUAUUCAUAUUUACGUAAUUCGAUAUCUCUAUGAGUAUAAAAUUUACAUUUUCUCGUGAUAUUUAUAAUCAUUGACUCGUCAUGCUGUCGUAUAAUCUCUCUAAUUGCUCGUAGAAACACAAACACAGGACUGUGUGAGGGGCUGAUCUCAUCCAAGUUGGAAAAAGCCCUUUGUAUAAACCGAAUAUCCCUUCUGUUCUAAAAAUCUGGAAAAAUGCGUCGAAAUAGUUGCGGUAGACCAGUGCUUUUCCACGACUAUCCGUAGCUGCAACAAUCAUUCAUCAAAUAAAUGAUUUCAUCAUGGAAUGCAUAAAAAAUCUCACCUUGAUUAUACAGCCUCACAGAAAUAACGUCGAGGGGCUGCGUCAUGAGGGCCAGAGAACUUCCACCUACUAGUGCUGAGAGGAACGUCAGAAUCAUGGGAUGAUUAUCGAAAAACUAGAAAAAACAGUGACGUUUUUUUCUCUGGAUUUUAUAUUUGAUUUGACGGUUGAUAUUUUUUUUACUUGAAGCGCCCGUAAUAAAUCGCUCGCGAAACUGAA